CCUACGGGAGGCUGCAGUAGGGAAUAUUGCGCAAUGGGGGAAACCCUGACGCAGCAACGCCGCGUGAGUGAUGAAGGCCUUCGGGUCGUAAAGCUCUGUUGCAAGGGAAUAAGAAAGUGAAUGUACCUUGCGAGAAAGGGGCGGCUAACUUCGUGCCAGCAGCCGCGGUAAUACGAAGGUCCCUAGCGUUGUUCGGAAUCAUUGGGCGUAAAGCGCACGUAGGCCGCCAUCUAAGUCAGGUGUGAAAGCCUGGGGCUUAACCCCAGAAGUGCAUU
rnacentral:rRNA from 1 species